ensembl:snoRNA Snora61 small nucleolar RNA, H/ACA box 61
ACCCUCCGGUUCCCUUUCCCAUCGGAUCUUGACGCUGGUCUUGGUGGUCGUAAAGGAGGAAGAGCAGACCGAAGCUGGCCUCACAGCAAUAUAGUCUGCUAUAGAGCAUUGGGUCAGAUUCAUACAUGC